GGGGGUGGCAGAGCGGCUUAUCGCGACCGACUUAAAAUCGGUUAUACCUUCGGGUAUCACGGGUUCGAAUCCCGUUCCCCCCGCCA
rnacentral:tRNA from 1 species